CUUUUCAGUAGUUUACUACAGAAAAUGACUGAGCGGCGAACGGGUGAGUAACGCGUGAGCAAUCUACCUUAGUUACAGGGAUAGCCCGAGGAAACUCGGAUUAAUACCUGAUAUUCUUUAUUUCUCGCAUGAGAAUAAAAGGAAAGGUCAGCCGAACUAAGAUGAGCUCGCGUUCUAUCAGCUAGUUGGUGAGGUAAAAGCUUACCAAGGCUACGACGGAUAGCUGGUCUGAGAGGACGAUCAGCCACACUGGGACUGAGACACGGCCCAGACUCCUACGGGAGGCUGCAGCAGGGAAUAUUGUGCAAUGAACGAAAGUUUGACACAGCGACACCGCGUGUGGGAUGACGGAUCUAGGUUUGUAAACCACUUUCAGGAGGGAAGAAAAUGACGGUACCUCCACAAGAAGCCCCGGCCAACUACGUGCCAGCAGCCGCGGUAAUACGUAGGGGGCGAGCGUUGUCCGGAUUUAUUGGGCGUAAGGAGCUCGUAGGCGGUUCAACAAGUCAGUAGUAAAAGUUCAGGGCUCAACCCUGAAAUGUCUAUCGACACUGUUGUGACUAGGAUACGGCAGAGGUGAGUGGAAUUCCGAGUGUAGCGGUGAAAUGCGUAGAUAUUCGGAGGAACACCAAUUGCGAAGGCAGCUCACUGGGCCGCUAUCGACGCUGAGGAGCGAAAGCUAGGGGAGCAAACAGGAUUAGACACCCUGGUAGUCCUAGCUGUAAACGAUGGAUACUAGACGUAGGAACUGGAUUGACGGUUUCUGUGUCGUAGCUAACGCGUUAAGUAUCCCGCCAGGGGAGUACGGUCGCAAG
rnacentral:rRNA from 1 species